rnacentral:rRNA from 1 species
AUCAUCCGAUCCCUAGUCGGCAUAGUUUAUGGUUAAGACUACGACGGUAUCUGAUCGUCUUCGAUCCCCUAACUUUCGUUCUUGAUUAAUGAAAACAUCCUUGGCAAAUGCUUUCGCAGUAGUUAGUCUUCAAUAAAUCCAAGAAUUUCACCUCUGACAAUUGAAUACUAAUGCCCCCAACUAUCCCUGUUAAUCAUUACGUCAAUCCUAGAAACCAACAAAAUAGGAUCGAACGUCCUAUUUCAUUAUUCCAUGCUAAUGUAUUCAAGCGUUAGCUUGCUUUAAACACUCUAAUUUUUUCAAAGUAACAGUCCAAAUUCCCCAAAACACCAAAUAAAUGGCAUUAAGGUUCAUCAGGAAGGAGGAAUCAGUGAGACCAGUACAUACCAGAGGCAUGACCAACCUACUAACCCCGAAAUUCAACUACGAGCUUUUUAACUGCAACAACUUUAAUAUACGCUAUUGGAGCUG